rnacentral:lncRNA from 13 species
UACCCCCUUACCACUCAGUCUCCAUGUGACAUUCUUGCUCCUCUUUUACCUUCCACCAUGAUUGUGAAAUCCCUGAGGUCCUCACCAGAAGCAGUUUCUGGCACCAUACUUCCUAUACAGCCUGCAAAAGAGUGAACCAAUUCAACCUUUUUUUAAAGCUUGGAAUGUCUGUGACUGUACAGUUCUUGAUUCAGAGGAACACUAGUAAUUGCUGAAGUGCACAAAUAUUCAUUAAAAGGUAAAAAUAGAUUACAAGAAUCAGUAAACUCCUUUGACUUUGGAACUAGGAAACAUUCAUAACCAGAAUUCCAUUUAUAAAAAAAGUCUGACAAGUGCUUUGG